UACAGAGGGGGCAAGCGUUGUUCGGAAUUAUUGGGCGUAAAGAGCGUGUAGGCGGCCAUACAGGUCCGUUGUGAAAACUCGAGGCUCAACCUCGAGACGCCGAUGGAAACCGUAUGGCUAGAGUCCGGAAGAGGAGAGUGGAAUUCCUGGUGUAGCGGUGAAAUGCGCAGAUAUCAGGAAGAACACCCGUGGCGAAGGCGGGUCUCUGGGCCGAUACUGACGCUGAGGAGCGAAAGCGUGGGGAGCGAACAGG
rnacentral:rRNA from 1 species